rnacentral:rRNA from 1 species
UACAGAGGAUGCAAGCGUUAUCCGGAAUGAUUGGGCGUAAAGCGUCUGUAGGUGGCUUUUUAAGUCCGCCGUCAAAUCUCAGGGCUCAACUCUGGACAGGCGGUGGAAACUACCAAGCUGGAGUACGGUAGGGGGAGAGGGAAUUUCCGGUGGAGCGGUGAAAUGCGUAGAGAUCGGAAAGAACACCAACGGCGAAAGCACUCUGCUGGGCCGUCGCUGACACUGAGAGACGAAAGCUAGGGGAGCGAAUGGG